AUUGAACGCUGGCGGCAGGCCUAACACAUGCAAGUCGAACGAGUGGCGGACGGGUGAGUAAUGUCUGGGAAACUGCCCGAUGGAGGGGGAUAACUAAUGGAAACGGUAGCUAAUACCGCAUACCAUCGAAUGUGCCCAGAUGGGAUUAGCUAGUAGGUGGGGUAACGGCUCACCUGGGCGAAGAUCCCUAGCUGGUCUGAGAGGAUGACCAGCCACACUGGAACUGAGACCGGGCCAGGAUCCCUACGGGAGGCAGAAGUGGGGAAUAUUGCACAAGGGGCGCAAUCCUGAUGCAGCCAUGCCGCGUGUAUGAAGAAGGCCUUCGGGUUGUAAAGUACUUUCAGCGAGGAGGCGUUACUCGCAGAAGAAGCCCCGGCUAACUCCGUGCCAGCAGCCGCGGUAAUAC
rnacentral:rRNA from 1 species